ACACAUUCCUUUCUUCUGGAUAUGGGGCAGGAUCCUUUCUGGAACGGGGAUCUUAUGACCUGUAGUCAAACAAGGAUCUUGCUGCGUCACUCAGGCUGGAGUGCAGUGGCACAAUCACGGCUCAUUGCAACCUCGACUCCCCAGGUUCAAGCAAUCCUCCCACUUCAACCUCCAAAGUAGCUAGGACUACAGGUGUGGCCAUGCCUAGCUAACUUUUAAAAUUUGUUCUAGAGAUGGGGUCUCACUCUAUUGCCCAGGCUGGUCUUGAACUCCUGAGCUCAAAUGUCCCACCAACCUUGUGCUCCCAAAGUGCUGGGAUUAUGAGUGUGAGCCACUGCAUCUGGUGGCUUCCUUUUUUUAAUCCCAAUUUUUUAUUCCUUAAAAAUUUUUCCAGGUGUACAUUGUAAAAUUUGUUUUCUAUUUUACCAUUUUUCCAAAUGGCUACCCAGUUGUCCCAACAGCAUAUAUUAAAUAUUCUAUCUUCUCUAUUGAUGUGAAUUGCCAUCCUUAACAUUUACUAAAUUUGCUUAUUAUUGAUUGAUUUUGGAGAAGGGGUCUCACUUUGUCAUACAGGCUGAAGUGCAGAGGUGUAAUUACAACCCACUGCAGCCUCUACCUUCUGGGCUCAAGUGAUCCUCCCCACUCAGCCUCCUGAGUAGCUGGGACCACAGGCAUGUGCCACCAUGACUGGCUAAUUUUUAAAUUUUUUGUAGUGAUAAGGUCUCUCUAUGUUGCUCCAGCUGGUCUCCAACUCCUGGGUUCAAGGAAUGCUCCCACCUCUGCCUCCCAAAGUGCUGGGAUUACAGACAUGACCCACCGUGCCCAGGCUGCUUAUUUUUAUUUUUAUUUUUUUGAGACAAGAUUUUGCUCUGUCACCCAGCCUGGAGUGUGUAGUGGCAUGAUCUCAGCUCACUGCACCCUCGACUUCCUGAGCUCAGGUGAUUCUCCCACCUCAGCCUUCUAAGUAGCUGGGACUACAGGCCCACAUCACCACGCCAGGCUAACUUUUGUAUUUUUAGUAGAGACAGGAUUUCAGCGUGUUACCCACGCUGGUCUCAAACUCCUGGGCUCAAGCAAUCCUCCCACCUCGGGCUCCAAAAAUGCUAGGAUUACAGGCGUGAGCCACCCAGCCUGGCCUGCUUAUGAAUUUUGGUCUAGUUUUAGACAUCCUAUUCUACAACUUGGCUAGUCUGUUUAUUCAUGUAUCAGCUGUUUUAACUAUUAAGGUGUUAUAUGUCCUAUCUAGAAGGGCCAAUCCUCCUGUGUUGCUCUUCAUUGUUAUAAUUUUCCUGGUUGUUUUUGCUUAUUUAUCUUUUCAAAUGAAUGUCAGUGUUAACUUGCCUGGUUUAAAAAACCGUAUUUUAUUGAAGUUGUAUUAAGAGAAUAAAAAACUGUGGAUAAUUAAAAUUUUUAUGGUAUCAAUUUUUUUCUCAUUCUAACAAAAAGUAUGACUUUCCUUUUUUUUUUUUUUUGUCUUGCGAUGGAGUCUCACUCUGUCGCCCAGGCUGGAGUGCAGUGGCUCGAUCUCAGCUCGCUGCAGCUGUGUCCAGAACUGGUGGGUUCUUGGUCUCACUGACUUCAAGAAUGAAGCCGCGGACCCUUGUGGAUGAAGACAUCUAAGCUACUUCUGGAUUCCCUAGAAAACUUGUGCUGCCUAUUCUUUUCCAACUGUGUAGUCCUCUCCUGGCUGUUUCUGUGGUCCAGCAGACUGUGGAGAAAUAGCUUACUAUUCCAUUAGAAAGAAGAUCUUGUGUAAUAAAAAUAAGAAGUGGUAUCAGGUCAUGGGAGCUUUGGAAAUGGAAUCGAGAUUUGGUGCUUGUCUUUGCCUCUGUGGCUAACAAGGUAUAGAACGUUUGGAAGUUUCUUAACUGACUUAGGCCACCUAAAGGUAUUAGAGUAGACAAGCAGUUUGUAAAAGGUGCUUUGCAGGUAACCAGGGGCCUGCUGGUCUCUCAUAGCUGCCUCAGAGGCUCAUGAUAGAAGGUUUGAGAAACUAGGGGAUUGUCACUGAGAGGGAUACAAUGGGGACUUCGGUCGAAUAAUCUCCAUUGUCUUUCGAGCAGAACAGCAGCAGCUCUAUUUCCUAUACAUUUCACAUUUUGUAAUUCUUGAAGGAUUUUUUUUAAAACAAAGACCUCUGCUAAAACCAAACCAAACCAAAUCAAAUCAAAUAAAAGCUGCAAGACUCCUGAAGGUCCCUCUAGCUCUACAUUUUUAGUACUUUCCUAUGAUAUUUAUAUAUCCCACAUGCUGGUUCACUUUGUCAUCUGAGAUGAGACUAAUCUGUGUCCAUCUGGGAUAGAAAUUUCUUCCGUACUUUGAUGAAAAGCAGUGUAGUCCUGCAAGAUGUGAGUCUAUUUCCCCAUACUUUAUUGACACAGGUAUGAAGAUGAGAAGAGAUGGAGGCAGCAAAGGAAAUGUGGUUUUGCAUGUCACUAGCUCAACUCCCUCUGCAUUUUCUUUUAAGCAAGGGAGGUGCUCCAUUGUCUCUAUAGGGCAACAGCAGUUCACUGGGUCCCCACAUUUUUCUGGGGCUUUUGUGAGAAGCAGUAGGCAGGAACAGUGAAGAGAAACUUAGCAGGAGGCCCAGGUGCUGUCUUUUCUAGUUUCAGAGCUAUCUGAUCAGGACAAAAAGGAACAAGCUUGUCCACAGCAAGAUGGCCAGCAACUUGGUUAUUUACCCAGUUAGUCUUGGGGAACACUAGAGCUCUUCCAAUAGCUGGGACUAUUUAAAUUUUUUCAAGGAAACAUAUGCUGUGGGUUGGUGGUAGAUGGGAUUCAGGAGGAUCCUUCUCUUAUACAAGAUGACUUUCUGGAUAGGUGUUUGUGGGGUACAGAGGGAGGGAGCAAGGAGAAUAAGAGAGGAACAAACCAAAUGUUCAACAUUCUAACACUCUUUAAUAAUUUAUCUAAAAUUAUUGGAUAUUGAAUUAUUAGAGGCAUUGAAUCUUUUACUUUUUGUAUGACACUCACUCAGUCUUCAAAUAAUUUCUGAUUGAACACUAGAUUAAGAGGAAAAAAUACCACAAAUGAAAUAACUUGUAUUUUUGUUACGCAAAGGAUUAUUCUAAAAAAUAAUAAGCUGUUCCUCUAAGCCCUUUUAGAACACAUGGAAAACUUCAGAAUAGUGUGAGGGCGUCUUACAUGCACUUCUUUCUUUGGAGAUUGUGAUAACCCAAGUAGAGGAUUUAGGAUUGUGCUGCUCAGAGACAACUGUUUGGAUAAAAUAAUGCCAGAUUCAUCGUUUCCAGACUUGUUAAAUUCAUGGAGUAUUAAAAUAAAAUUGAAAUAAAAUGGAAAAUAUGAUGCCCAGUUGUUUUGUCAAAACCAGUCUAGGUGUUGCUUUGAAAGUAGUUUUUAGAUAUGAUUAACAUUUAAAUCAGUAGGCUUUGAGUAAAGCAGAUUACUCUCUGUAAUGUGGGUGGGCCUUGUCCUAUCAGUCGAAGGUCUGAAAAGAGUGAGGUCCCCUGAAGAGGAAGGAAUUCUGCCUCUGACCUGCCUUCAGACUCAAGACUGCAGCAUCAACUCUCGGAGUUUCCACCCAUCCAGGCUGCCCUGCAGGUUUCAGACUUGCCAGCCCCCAGAGCUGGUUUAGGGAAUUAAACCAAUCUUUCUCUCUCCACAUAUAUACAUACUUUGUUUUGUUUCUCUGGAGAACCCUGACUAAUAGACCAAUACAAGAUUGUGGUUUUAAUUCCACCAAGUAAGGACUGAAAACUAAACAAAUAAACAAAAAUGAAAAUCUACCAUCUAUUGUCAUCACUUCAUGAAAGAAAGAAAAAUUUACUAUUCCCAUAGGAAAGACAUACUCUCAGAACAAAGAACAAUUUUAUUGAUGAAUAAAUUCUAUCCUAUUAACUAGCUUACCACAUUGCCUUUACGUGUCUCAUUUUCCACACACAGGAGCCAGCCUUUAGGAACUGUGCUGGAGGUGACCCAACUUCUGAUUGUGUGGGAGAACUAUCCCACUGUUACUCCUAAGAGAACAUUCUCUCCCAAUAGCUCCCCCGAUAUGGAAUGUGACAGAGUAACAAGAUGCCAAAAUAUAUAGACCUCUUUUUCUUUCUACAACAUAGGUGCUCUUAAACAGUAUGCAGAGGAUUGUGUAGCUGCUUAUAAUAGGAGCCAGGCUGACACAGCUCUCUUUUCUCUUUUGUCACAGGUGAUCACAGAAAUAGCUUGCUGUAACAGCACCUCACAGUUUCCUCUUAAAAUGAAACCACAUUUUCUUUGUGCCCUUUCAGCUCAGUUCUGCUGUUCAUAGAGGGGCUUGGGAGAUUUUCCACUGUAGGUUUCUUAAAAUUCAUUAUACUUGUAGAAUGUUAGAGCUAGAAGGUCCCCUAAAGAUCAUAAAGUUCAAUUUCAUUUUUUACAGAUGAGAAAACAGAGGCUAAGAGAGGUAAAGAGGUGCUUAGUUGUGGCAGAAGAUUAGAAGAGAAGUUCCUGCAUGUCGGUUUAGCAAUCAUCUUGCUCAUUACAACUUCCUCUUCUGCCUUAAUCACUUUUCAGUUCAGUAGCCUCUUUCCUCUAGAAUAGCCCUUCUGUAUUCACACUGCCUUUUCUUUGCUUUGAAGUUACAGAUCUGAAACUCUUGCGUUAGCUAUGCUAUGGUUUUCUUCCACAUUCUGUACACUGUACUGACCAUCCUCUUAUAAACCUCUUCUCUUCUAGGUUAAAGAUUUCUUGACUUCCCUCUGGUGAAGCUUGAUACCAACUGACCUAUAAGGGCUUGGUUUUCACAACAGAGUCUUAGUCCACCCUCGCCAUCGCACCAAAUACUGAGAGAACAAAUAAAAUUAUUGCUUGAAGAAACGAA